UUGAAAACGAUUUCGGACUGUCAACAGCGUUCACCACGGCAUUGACCUCCAAACAGACAUUUUUUCACUCUCAAACUGGUGCAGAAGCAAUAAGCCACUCUUAAAUGCUUCCAAAACAAUGAUAUUAAGUUAUACGCGAAAAAGACAACAUGC
rnacentral:lncRNA from 1 species